CGCGUAGGCGGUUUGGUAAGUCGGAUGUGAAAUCCCCGGGCUCAACCUGGGAAUUGCAUUCGAUACUGCUUGACUAGAGUAUGGUAGAGGGAAGUGGAAUUUCAGGUGUAGCGGUGAAAUGCGUAGAUAUCUGAAGGAACAUCAGUGGCGAAGGCGACUUCCUGGACCAAUACUGACGCUGAGGUGCGAAAGCGGUGGGGAGCAAACA
rnacentral:rRNA from 1 species